rnacentral:tRNA from 1 species
CAUCCAGUCGCCAAGGGGUAAGGCAGCAGGUUUUGGUCCUGCCAUCCGGGGGUUCAAAUCCUCCCUGCCCAGCCA